UUAUCACCAGGAAGCUUCUUCCCCCAAUUGUGGUGUGCUUAACUAUGCCUUAAAUAAACUGCCCAGUGUCAGACUUGAGCCAACACUGGCUACUGAGUCAUAUUGAACUGGAUUUCCUUCUUGCCUCAUAUGCUGUGGCAUUUGUAGAGACCCAGAGGAAAGCAUGAGAAAAAGUCCCAGUGGCCAAUUAUGUAAUGAUUUUACAGAAGUCAGAAGGAAUAGUGUGCAAGUAAAGGUAUUGUCUGCCACAGGGAGAUCCUUUUUUCAUGCAUGGGAGGCAGUAGAAUGACGACACAGAGGAAGAGACAUGUACUGAUGUGUAGUGGGUAAAAGGUUCCAGGUGAUAAUAUUGUCUGGCGUCCAGAAAAAGUGGCUAGAAUGGAGAUGAGGUCAUGAAGGUCCAUAGCCUCUCCCUUGAGACCUCCUUCAAAGAGAAGAAAAACAGAAGAAAAACACCAAGUCCAAUUUGUGUUGCCCAUAUACUCACUGGAGAAUGGUCACACUCCCCAUGGCCAGCCCUAUAAAGAAAACAGUCUGUCUCCACCCCUCCUCUGCCAGAAGCCAUCAACUGUGGAGAGCUUCACUCCAGGAUCCCUAUCACAAUUUUCAGAGUUCUUCUCGAUGUCCAGUCUGUAGUCAUCAGUAUCACAGCAAAAGAAGCUUCCUUGUCCUUUACAGUCAGUGGCAGCAUGGAUCACAGACUUACAUAUGGUUUCUGGAAGCAUUGCAGACCACAGACAUCAACAUGGUCCUGGGUCAAAGCAUGGACCUCAGACACCAUCAUGGUUCUUGGAGGUGGCAGACCAUAUGAACCUCAAUAUGGUCUCUGGUGACAACAUGGGGCACAGGCCUUAUCAUUGUCUCUGACAGCACCACAUACUAACAUCAACAUAUACAUCUAAAUACACACCACCUACAUGCCAACAUACACUCUAAAAACACACCACAUACACAACAUACACUCUAAAUACACACCACAUACACAUCAAGGUGGUCUCUAGUGGGAGCACAGACCAUGGACAGCCACAUGGCAUUCGGCUGCAGCAAAGACCACAGAAUGCCCUUGGUGACCUGCAAACCUCUUGAAACUCAUUUUCUAGUUGCCCUGGGAGUAAAACCUCAAGUUUGGCUCGUUUCCAGUCUUUAACAAGUAAAUAGCAGGGACCUAGUAAAAAAUAUUGAGACAACACUGACCUUCAAGAAGUUGUUGAAGGAAUAAGGCAACAAUAUUUCCAUAUUUCAAGGCAGAAAAUAAAAACAAGAGAGAUGACUGCUUUUCCUCCAGUCACACAAUAAUCUCUAAAACAACACGAUAAUCUGUGUUGAGUCCCAGCCCCCACAGGGUCUCUGAGUUGUUUGUCAGCUGAUAGCCACAGUGCAUCCUACUCUCUAGUCCUGGCUUACUGCUCCAGCAUUGCCCCACUGACAUCAACAUCUAGCAGGAGGAAAACAUGAGCUCUUCCACCUGGUGUUUUCCCACUGUCCUGUAAGUCUGUAUAUAAGUCUAUUCCCUCUCUAUGAGAGAAAGAGAAGA